GGAUGUGAGGGCGAUCUGGCUGCGACAUCUGUCACCCCAUUGAUCGCCAGGGUUGAUUCGGCUGAUCUGGCUGGCUAGGCGGGUGUCCCCUUCCUCCCUCACCGCUCCAUGUGCGUCCCUCCCGAAGCUGCGCGCUCGGUGGAAGAGGACGACCAUCCCAGAUAGAAGGAGUGUACCGAUCUUCGGUCAAGGGUAUACGAUAGCUGCGCUCCCCUGCUAGAACCUCCAAACAAGCUCAAGGUCCCAUCCAUUCAGUCCUUAUCGCGCUGACUGCAUUCUCUCCCACCCAGUCACUCCUUAAGGAAUUUCUUU
rnacentral:snRNA from 1 species